CGGUAAUGGAAGAGCCUCUGCUGGAGAAGAAACAUGAGCAGGGCGGGUUUAUGGUUGUGCGUAUCCUACUUGCCAUUAACUUCUUUCCCCUUGUGUGCGCCAUUGUCGCCCAUUCCUUCUUGAGUCGAUUCUACACAAUUGGUUUUGGAACCAUCAUCUCAAUCGUGGGAAAAUCUCUUCUGUGUUCUACAACAAUGAUCCCUCAAUUAAGACCUCCGCCAUGCUAUCAUCAUCCGGUGGCGCUUGCAGCACUCCACAGUUUUCCAGUUCAUAUAUCUUUGUUAGUUUCCUGAUAUCUCUUCUGAUUGAGCUAUCCAUUUUAUGUUCAAGAUAACUUAGGAUGGCUAUCAAAUAUGGCAUGCUAGUUGUUUUCUAGGUAGUUAGUGGUGUCUUGUUCUUUUCAGCUUACAAGUUUUACAUGAAGUUGAAAGGUAAAGAAAAUUUGAUUACCAGUUUGAUUCAAGUGGCAGUAGCUUCUUACCAUUAUAGACAUGUGAAAUUAUCGAACAGGACAAACUACAUGUGCCAUUGUGAGCCUGGUUCGACUCUUAUGCAUCCACCCUAAAGUCAGGUACUUAUGUAAUGUUUUUCACCAAUGCCUUUGGGAUUCAUAUAAUUAGGGGGGGAUGUGAAUUCAAUUUCAAUUUAUAAUCAUGUUACAAUGUUGAUUAAAUUAGAUAUACUAUUAUACAAUCAAUAAUAUUUUAGUUAUUGAUCGAUAAAACUGUAGUAGGAUUUUAGUAACAUUUAAAGAACUUAUGUUUAGAAUUUGUACUGUAAGUUAUAGAAUGAGCUUGAUCUUUGUUCGAGAAGUUUGUUAUAGGAACCAAAUGAUCUUUUGCAUGACUGAUGUUAAGCUUCCUUGGUUUGUCGAUGUUGAGAUAUUUAGAUAUAUAAUUUAUGAUUUAGAUUAGUUUUCUCUUAUCUAAUUAGGUCAUUAGUAUUUGAUUAUAUAAAUUAGGUUAGGUUAUUAUUUGUCUAUUGAAUCUGUAUGUAAUAUAAGUAUCAUAUAUGGGACGUGCUAUGUUUGAGUUUCACUGCCACUCAUUCGUCAACGUCCACAUGCAAGAUACAUAUGUAGCAUAUAUUCACAUACACUACACAUGAAGAGCGUGUUGGUUAAUUCCGUAAAAUAUAACAAAAAUGUAGCCGAAGCUUCGAGCUAACAAUCGGACUAUAAUUAGCUUCGGGUACAUUUUUGUUUUAGA